AGGCGCGUAGUUCAGCUGGUUAGAACGCCACGUUGACAUCGUGGAGGUCGUUGGUUCGAGUCCAAUCGCGCCUACCA
rnacentral:tRNA from 1 species